GACGAACGCUGGCGGCGUGGAUUAGGCAUGCAAGUCGAACGGUAUCAUCCUUUCGGGGGUGAGAGAGUGGCGAACUGGUGAGUAACACGUAGGUUAUCUACCCUCAAGACGGGGACAACCCAGGGAAACUUGGGCUAAUACCGGAUGUGAGCAACUUUUAGUUGUUUGAAAGGUGGCGUAAGCUGUCGCUUGGGGAUGAGCCUGCGUCCUAUUAGUUAGUUGGUGAGGUAACGGCUCACCUAGGCAAUGAUAGGUAGGCGGCCUUAACGGGUGGUCGCCCACACUGGGAUUGAGAUACGGCCCAGACUCCUACGGGAGGCAGCAGUCGAGAAUAGUCUACAAUGGUCGGAAGACUGAUAGUGCGACGCCGCGUGAACGAUGAAUCCCUUCGGGGUGUAAAGUUCUUUUAUAUGUGAGCAGUGCUUCUUAUAUUAACAGUAUGGGGGGAGAGAUAUUAGCAUAUGAAUAAGCAACGGCUAACUCCGUGCCAGCAGCCGCGGUAACUCGU
rnacentral:rRNA from 1 species